rnacentral:rRNA from 1 species
CCUACGGGAGGCAGCAGUGGGGAAUAUUGGACAAUGGGCGAAAGCCUGAUCCAGCAAUGCCGCGUGAGUGAUGAAGGCCUUCGGGUCGUAAAGCUCUUUUACCAGGGAUGAUAAUGACAGUACCUGGAGAAUAAGCUCCGGCUAACUCCGUGCCAGCAGCCGCGGUAAUACGGAGGGAGCUAGCGUUGUUCGGAAUUACUGGGCGUAAAGAGUACGUAGGCGGUUAUUCAAGUCAGAGGUGAAAGCCCGGGGCUCAACCCCGGAACUGCCUUUGAAACUAGAUAGCUAGAGUCUUGGAGAGGUUAGUGGAAUUCCGAGUGUAGAGGUGAAAUUCGUAGAUAUUCGGAAGAACACCAGUGGCGAAGGCGACUAACUGGACAAGUACUGACGCUGAGGUACGAAAGCGUGGGGAGCAAACAGGAUUAGAUACCCUGGUAGUCCACGCCGUAAACGAUGAUAACUAGUUGUUCGGUCACUUGGUGACUGAGUGACGCAGCUAACGCAUUAAGUUAUCCGCCUGGGGAGUCGGUCGCAAGNUAAACUCAAAGGAUUGACGG